rnacentral:lncRNA from 1 species
CACUUUCCUGCUGCUGUGACAGCCUCUGAGAUGAGCCUUCUCCUCUUUUAUUAGAAGAAGUUAUGAGAGGAAGAGACACCCUAAAUGAUACUCCUAUAACUUCAGAAAAAGCUGACUGCAAUUCUGUCAUCUGUAAGGAACAGUAUAUGUCACUGUCACUGAAACAGAAGACUGAAAAUUAGAGCAUGAACAUAUAAACUGGAAGGGGAAAAAUAAAUCAGGUCCAUCUUGUUUUAACAUUCAGCAAUAUUUUUAAGUAUCUCUAAAGAACCUUGAAAGAAAAGAGCUGAAAAGAGUCUUGGACCUUCAGGAAUAUUAGAAUCUGGUUUUCAAUUACAUUUUGACCUGAAAAUGAAAUAAACCCUCUAUAGUAAUGACUUGAGCUGUCUCUACAGCUCGCCUGUUUGCACAAUUGAAAUUGUUUCAUUUCCAGGGGUGCCUUCUACUGCACUCCAGGAGCCAGGCUAAAAUCAGAAACAGUUACAGCUCUCACAUCUCCUGGGAAGAAAACUUUAGCAGAAGCAGCAGUUCUGGAAGCAGGGAGGUAGGUGAUUUAACACCAGAUUCUGGAAGGCUCAUUUGUACCCUGCACUGACACUUGCUGGGCUCUGUGGUGGUCCUGCUGGUUGGUCCCUACCAUCUGGUCCUGACCAGAUGAUUAGUCUAAGUCAGUGGUUGCAGAGAUUGUUUUGCCCUUUAUAAAAUUUUUAUUUGUCACAUCUUAGGGGGUGCUACUGGUAUCUAAUGGGUAGAAGAUAAGGGAUGUUACUAAACAUCCUACAGUGCACAAGUCAGCUCUUCACAACAAAGAAUGACCUGGCCCAAAAUAUCAAGAGGGCCAAGGUGGGGAAAUCCUGGUCUCUGGGUCUCAUUUACCAAUGGUUGCUUUAGAAAUAGGUGUGUGACUUAAUCCCAGUUCCAGACUUGAGGUAAAGUCAGUCAAAAGGUGUCUGAGAAAGUUUCUUUCAUUCCUCAGAGGAACCAGAAAAAAAAUAUUUCUUCUUUUGGCUGUUGUAGUAAUGGAUCAGAUGUCUGGAGCAAUUGUAGUCCUUUAUAACCACAAAAACAAUCAUUUUGAGAUCAAUAUCAUAAUAUUAAGUAAAGUGGGAAAUGUUGAUGACUUAUAACCAUCAGUUCCACUCACAGAUAUAUAUCCUAGAGAGAUAUGUAUAAGAGUGCACUGAGAGACAAAUACACAAGAAUUUGGAAACAUGGCAAUACUUAAAUCUCAGAAAUAGCCAACAUUUGUG